rnacentral:misc_RNA from 1 species
GAUGAAGAACGUAGCGAAAUGCGAUAAGUAGUGUGAAUUGCAGAAUUCAGUGAAUCAUCGAAUCUUUGAACGCACAUUGCGCCCUUUGGCAUUCCGAAGGGCAUGCCUGUUCGAGCGUCAUUAUCACCCCUCAAGCCCCCCUGGCUUGGUGUUGGACGGUUUUGGUGGGACGUGCAGCCUCUCACCCCUCCUAAAGACAAUGACGGCGGCGUCGUUGGAACCCCCGGUACACUGAGCUUCUUAACUGAGCACGUACUGGAUGCGGGUACGCGAUGCACGGUCUGCCUCCCCUUUAGGGAGAACUUUUUCUUAAGGUUGACCUCGGAUCAGGUAGGAAUACCCGCUGAACUUAAGCAUAUCAAUAAGCGGAGGA